rnacentral:rRNA from 1 species
UACGUAGGGGGCGAGCGUUGUCCGGAAUUAUUGGGCGUAAAGAGCGUGUAGGCGGUCCGGUAAGUCAGCUGUGAAAGUCAAGGGCUCAACCCUUGAAAGCCGGUUGAUACUGUCGGGCUAGAGUCCGGAAGAGGCGAGUGGAAUUCCCGGUGUAGCGGUGAAAUGCGCAGAUAUCAAGAGGAACACCUGAGGUGAAGACGGGUUGCUGGGCCGACACUGACGCUGAUAGCGCGAAAGCCAGGGGAGCAAACGGG